rnacentral:misc_RNA from 1 species
UGUGCGGUGCAGACGUCUCGUAU